rfam:Myotis brandtii contig260928, whole genome shotgun sequence.
GGCAGUUCUAGGGUGAUGCACCCUGGAAUCCUGGAAUCGGGCUCCCUCCUCUCUGGUUCUGGGUGCAUCACCCGAGAACUGCU